rnacentral:rRNA from 1 species
GCUCUCGGGUGACGAGUGGCGGACGGGUGAGUAAUGUCUGGGAAACUGCCCGAUGGAGGGGGAUAACUACUGGAAACGGUAGCUAAUACCGCAUAACGUCGCAAGACCAAAGUGGGGGACCUUCGGGCCUCACACCAUCGGAUGUGCCCAGAUGGGAUUAGCUAGUAGGUGGGGUAAUGGCUCACCUAGGCGACGAUCCCUAGCUGGUCUGAGAGGAUGACCAGCCACACUGGAACUGAGACACGGUCCAGACUCCUACGGGAGGCAGCAGUGGGGAAUAUUGCACAAUGGGCGCAAGCCUGAUGCAGCCAUGCCGCGUGUAUGAAGAAGGCCUUCGGGUUGUAAAGUACUUUCAGCGGGGAGGAAGGCGGUGAAGUUAAUAACUUCACCGAUUGACGUUACCCGCAGAAGAAGCACCGGCUAACUCCGUGCCAGCAGCCGCGGUAAUACGGAGGGUGCAAGCGUUAAUCGGAAUUACUGGGCGUAAAGCGCACGCAGGCGGUCUGUCAAGUCGGAUGUGAAAUCCCCGGGCUUAACCUGGGAACUGCAUU